rnacentral:rRNA from 4 species
AUAUAUAACGACUCUCGGCAACGGAUAUCUCGGCUCUCGCAUCGAUGAAGAACGUAGCGAAAUGCGAUACUUGGUGUGAAUUGCAGAAUCCCGCGAAUCAUCGAGUCUUUGAACGCAAGUUGCGCCCGAAGCCUUCGGGCCGAGGGCACGUCUGCCUGGGCGUCACGC